AGUAAAUAGAUACCCCGGUAGUCCACGCCGUAAACGAUGUCGACUUGGAGGUUGUGCCCUUGAGGCGUGGCUUCCGGAGCUAAACGCGUUAAAGUCGACCGCCUGGGGAGUACGGCCGCAAGGUUAAAACUCAAAUGAAUUGACGGGGGCCCGCACAAGCGGUGGAGCAUGUGGUUUAAUUCGAUGCAACGCGAAGAACCUUACCUACUCUUGACAUCCAGAGAACUUAGCAGAGAUGCUUUGGUGCCUUCGGGAACUCUGAGACAGGUGCUGCAUGGCUGUCGUCAGCUCGUGUUGUGAAAUGUUGGGUUAAGUCCCGCAACGAGCGCAACCCUUAUCCUUUGUUGCCAGCGGUUAGGCCGGGAACUCAAAGGAGACUGCCAGUGAUAAACUGGAGGAAGGUGGGGAUGACGUCAGGUCAUCAUGGCCCUUACGAGUAGGGCUACACACGUGCUACAAUGGCGCAUACAAAGAGAAGCGACCUCGCGAGAGCAAGCGGACCUCAUAAAGUGCGUCGUAGUCCGG
rnacentral:rRNA from 1 species